CAAGUAAAACAAGUAAUCGCAGCUGCAGAUGCCGAAAGGCGGCAGAUGAGGAAAGUCCGGGCUUCACAGGGCAGGGUGCCGGAUAACGUCCGGUGGAGGCGACUCCAAGGCCAGUGCAACAGAAAUAUACCGCUUGUGCCGUCAGGUACAGGUAAGGGUGGAAGGGCAGUGUAAGAGACUACCGCCCUGCCGGUAACGGCAGGGGCACAUGUAAACCCCACUCGAAGCAAGACCGCAUAGAGACCAUGCGGCGGCCCGCCGCGUCUCAGGUAGGUCGCUGAAGCCUGCCGGCAACGGCAGGUUUAGAUAGAUGAUUACUCAAUGACAUAACCCGGCUUAUCGUUUUGCUUGUCGA
rnacentral:RNase_P_RNA from 1 species